rnacentral:rRNA from 1 species
AGUGAACGCUGGCGGUAUGCCUAACACAUGCAAGUCGAACGGCAGCACAGUAAGAGCUUUCUCUUACGGGUGGCGAGUGGCGGACGGGUGAGGAAUACAUCGGAAUCUACUUUUUCGUGGAGGAUAACGUAGGGAAACUUACUCUAAUACCGCAUACCACCUACGGGUGUAAGCAGGGGAGCUUCUUACCUUGCGCGUUAGAACGAGCCGUUGUCGGAUUAGCUAGUUGGCGGGGUAAAGGCCCACCAAGGCGACUAUCCGUAGCUGGUCUGAGAGGAGGGUCGGCCACACUGGAACUGAGACACGGUCAAGACUCCUACGAGAGGCAGCAGUGGGGAAUAUUGGACAAUGGGCGCAAGCAUGAUCCAGCCAUCGCGCGUGGGUGGAGGAGGCCUUCGGGUUGUAAAGCCCUUUUGUUGGGAGAGAAAAGCAGCAGGUUAAUACGCCGCUGUUCUGACGGUACCCAAAGAAUGAGCACCGGCUAACUUCGUG